AUGCUAUUUGCAACUUUAGAACAUAUACUAACUCAUAUCUCUUUCUCAACGAUUUCAAUUGUGAUUACAAUUCAUUUUAUAAUCUUAUUAGUUCGUGAACUUGGAGGAUUACGUGAUUCGUCAAAAGGAAUGAUAUUUACUUUUUUCUCUAUAACAGGAUUCUUAGUUUCUCGUUGGGCUUCCUCGGGACAUUUUCCAUUAAGUAAUUUAUAUGAGUCAUCGAUCUUCCUUUCAUGGGCCCUGUAUAUUCUUCAUACCAUUCCUAAAAUACAGAACUCUAAAAAUGAUUGAAGCACAAUAACUACGCCAAGUACUAUUUUAACGCAAGGCUUUGCCACAUCGGGUCUUUUAACUGAAAUGCAUCAAUCCACGAUACUAGUACCUGCUCUACAAUCUCAGUGGUUAAUGAUGCAUGUCAGUAUGAUGUUAUUAAGCUAUGCAACUCUUUUGUGCGGAUCCUUAUUAUGUGCCGCUAUUCUAAUCAUUAGAUUUCGAAAUAAUUUCCAUUUCUUUUCUAAAAAGAAAAAAUGUUUUAUAAAACAUUUUUCUUUAGUGAUAUUAAAUAUUUUUAUGCAAAAAUAAGUGCUUUAA
rnacentral:rRNA from 1 species